CAGCAGCAGUCAGUGGGCUACAGUUCUCUGGAGACCGUCUACUCCGUCAGCCACAGCCUGACCCUCGCUGCCCUUCUGGUCACUAGAGCCGUCUUGAGCCUGUUCAGGUGAGGUCCAGCCACAGCAGCAGGCCUCAGAGCAGACUCAGCCAGGAGGCUAGCCAAGUCUACUCUUCUGCUGACCUCCCGUUUGGAGUGCACUACAUCAUGUUCGCCUUCUUUCCUGACAACAUUACAGCUGAGGUGAAAAUGAUCUUUGAGCUCAUCAUGGGGUCUUUCCAGGUGCAGGCGCAGUUGCAGCAGAAGUGGCCGUGCUGGCACCUGCAGGGCUUCUUGGGCUCGGACCCCAAAUCCCAGCACCACUCAAGAGACAGCAACGGGGCCAUGUGCAGCACACGGGCUUCCAUUCUGCCCUGCGUCCGCCCGGGCGCACACUGUUCCUCCAGCUUCCAGGCCGAAGUCUACCUGGUCUGGCCGCCUGGAGCUCAUGGGCCCCCAUUGGCUGCUCCUGGAUGCACCUCCCACUUCGGGCUGCAUCAGGGACCGAGGUCUGCCCAGGUGACACCAGCUCAGAGGCUGCCCUGACCCCCAGGCCACUGUCUGGAUGCCUCUGAAGAACUCUGCCCUUGCACUUUCCUGAGGAGAGUAGUGCACACAGAUGCGGGAGCCGCUUCUCGACUCAUCCCCUCAUGAUUGCAGGAUGGCUGUCACGACCCCAGGCCUCGUGUUCUCACAGAACUCCAUCCAGUGGCAGAAAGAAUGUUUCCUCUGUGUCUGCAUUUAUCAGAAAAAUAAACCAUGCCAGAACACAUGUACACUUUCCUCAGGCUCCAAGGCCAGGAUCAGGUCACAUCCCCAAGCUCUGGCUACAACUUCUAGAAGGAAAGUUGAUCUAAUAAAGAAGAAGAGGGGGGAAUGGAUGUUUCUUUGGGUAAAUAUGUGGCUUUUCAACCUCCUCCCAUCUGAGCCUGGUGGUAUAGUUCUAUGGUAGAGGUGAGGAAGCCCAAUCAGUCAAGGAUAAGUGCAGGAAAUAGAAAACACUCUAGGUAUUUUGUGCAGAAAGCUACUCAACAUAGGGAAUUAAAUGUAGAGAGGUCUGGAGGCAUGGAGGUGAGGGUACGCUUCUGCCCUGUGGUAGGUCACACUAGCCCAGCUGCCACCUUGCAGGAAAUUCUUGUCAGCAUCCUAGUUGCACAUCCAUUAAAUGGUGACAAGAAAAUGGAAGGGACACAGUGCCCUGCUGCCAUGAAAACUCCUCCCUGCAAGAUCCCAGUCAGCAGCCACCACACUGCAGGAACAAUGGCCUCUGCCUCCUUCUACUUCCAGCUCUUCCCCGCGGUGCUUCCCUCUGGUGGAGCCUAGGUUGCAUCCAGCAAGGGGGUGCUGGGAAAGGUAGUCUUCAGCCCCUGAAACACAUGGGAAUAUGGAAGGGGCAGACAGGGAUGCUGGGCACCAAUAGGUCAGUUCUAGCACAGAGGCUCAGGUGGCCUUGUAGCCCGUGUCACCAGAAAACGAGCUUAAGAUAAGAGUCUGUGAUCGAGUAAUAGGAAUUGGGGACAGAGAAGUGUGAAACUGGGGAACAGGAAAAGCCAAAAUGGUGGUGAGUCAUUGAGCUGGUCACCUGUGUUGCUACUGGGACCCUCUGAGAAGCAGGAGGGUCAGGACAGUGUUAGCUGCUGGCUCCCACCAUCUACCGCUCAAGCUCUGCCCAUGUCAACGCCAUCAUCUGUCCAUGCAUGAGUUGUCAGGUGGGUUCCUGCAGGUGUCCCUCACCAUGGCUUCAGAGGAUCUCUGGGCAGAAAGUGAUCGCUGAGGUGGGGAACAGGUUAUUCCUGUAGGAGCUGGAAAAAGUAGGCCAAAUAAGAUCCAAGGCAGCAAGUCCAGUACCAGUGGCUUCUUUCGGGCAGAGAAGAGGAGCCUUGCACAAAGGCCUCUGUGCUACCCUCUCUUCAAGGGUACUCUCUUCAUGGACACCCACUGUGGCCGAGGUAUUCACAACCUGGUCUCUCGGCUGGGGCCCCAGAGCCUGCUCUGGCAGAUCCAGCCUGACCUUGGCUCAUGGUGGCCCCUCCACCAUGCUUCUACCCAGUCCUGGGUGUAAGCUACCCUCACCUCUGCGUUAGCCAUGGCAGUGCCACACGCCAGGACCACCGGCUCUAACUCAGCCAUCUCCCUCAUACCCUGUGGAGCAUGCAAGAGCCUUUGGAUCCCUGCCAGGUCUCGGGGAGCCAAGAGACACUUGGUGGUGGCCACUACAACCUCCUUGCCAUCAAAUGCACCCAUCUACCGUUUUUACCCAGGAGGGCCACCUAAGAGGCACAGGCAGCCUUGGAGACUGGUUCCAAAUGCAGAAUGGGACACGUGCCCUCUCUGUUUUCACUUUUUAGGGUUCUUCCCCCCCUCAAGAUUCAUCCCAGAGGAUGAGGCCAGGAUACGUCUGAGAGAUUCUUCCCCUUCUCUGUCUUGUUCACCAGCUUAAGAUGGGCUUUCGGCCCUCCCCCUCCAUCGUCCCUUCCGGUUUCCUGAGAUGCCAUCCAUCCACCGUCCUCUGGAUCAUAAUGGUGGAGUGGCUUCAGAGGAAUGCAGUUUCAGGUCAGGGGUUAGGAAAUGAGAAUUACAUUGAUUUUGUAUUUUCAAAGUAUCAACGCCAUAAUACUCAUUCAGCAAAGAGUCACCGAGCACUUACCGUGUGCAGGGAGUGACCAAGGCAGAGGCCCUGCCCCAGAGAGCUGCCCUUCUAAUGGAGGAGUCCAAUCCCUAAACGGGAAAAUUACAGGAGGCUGAAAAGGACAGCACAGGGAACACAGUCAAUAAUAUUGUGAUAAUGGGCGGCGACAGAUAGUGAUGACGUUUAUCGUGGUGAGUAAUGUACAGAAUUGUAAAAUCACUAUGUUGUACCCCAAAGCUAACAUUGUAUGUCAGCUCUA